rnacentral:rRNA from 1 species
GAGGAAGGUGGGGAUGACGUCAAGUCAUCAUGGCCCUUACGACCAGGGCUACACACGUGCUACAAUGGCGCAUACAAAGAGAAGCGACCUCGCGAGAGCAAGCGGACCUCAUAAAGUGCGUCGUAGUCCGGAUUGGAGUCUGCAACUCGACUCCAUGAAGUCGGAAUCGCUAGUAAUCGUGGAUCAGAAUGCCACGGUGAAUACGUUCCCGGGCCUUGUACACACCGCCCGUCACACCAUGGGAGUGGGUUGCAAAAGAAGUAGGUAGCUUAACCUUCGGGAGGGCGCUUACCACUUUGUGAUUCAUGACUGGGGUGAAGUCGUAACAAGGUAACCGUAGGGGAACCUGCGGUUGGAUCACCUCCUU